GGCGGACGGGUUAGUAACGCGUAUACAAUUUGCCUUUUACAGGAGGAUAGCCCAGAGAAAUUUGGAUUAAUACUCCAUGGUAUUACGGGAUCGCAUGGUUUUGUAAUUAAAGUUUCGGCGGUAGAAGAUGAGUAUGCGUCCUAUUAGCUAGUUGGUAAGGUAACGGCUUACCAAGGCGACGGUAGGUAGGGGUCCUGAGAGGGAGAUCCCCCACACUGGUACUGAGACACGGACCAGACUCCUACGGGAGGCAGCAGUGAGGAAUAUUGGUCAAUGGAGGCAACUCUGAAUCAGCCAUGCCGCGUGCAGGAAGACUGCCCUAUGGGUUGUAAACUGCUUUUAUACAGGAAGAAACUUACCCACGUGUGGGUAACUGACGGUACUGUACGAAUAAGGACCGGCUAACUCCGUGCCAGCAGCCGCGG
rnacentral:rRNA from 1 species